GACGAACGCUGGCGGCGCGCCUAAUACAUGCAAGUCGAGCGAUGAAAUUUCCAGCUUGCUGGAAAUGGAAGAGCGGCGAACGGGUGAGUAACGCGUGGGUAACCUGCCUUUUAGAGGGGGACAACAGUUAGAAAUGACUGCUAAUACCGCCUAACAAUGAUUAACACAUUUUAGUUAUUUGAAAGUAGCAAUUGCUACACAAAAAGCUGGACCCGCGUUGUAUUAGCUAGUUGGUAAGGUAACGGAUUACCAAGGCGAUGAUACAUAGCCGACCUGAGAGGGUGAUCGGCCACAUUGGGACUGAGACACGGCCCAAACUCCUACGGGAGGCAGCAGUAGGGAAUCUUCGGCAAUGGGGGCAACCCUGACCGAGCAACGCCGCGUGAGUGAAGAAGGUUUUCGGAUCGUAAAACUCUGUUGUAAGAGAAGAAUGUUAAGAAGAGUGGAAAGCUUCUUAAGUGACGGUAUCUUACCAGAAAGGGACGGCUAACUACGUGCCAGCAGCCGCAGUAAAAC
rnacentral:rRNA from 1 species